CGUCAAGACCGGAGCGGACAAACCAGCCCAGUCCGUCCUCGAUGGCCCGGACUCACGGCGUCUGACCCGGCCGGGUGGCGGCGCAGCGUGUGCUAGCCACCGCCUCCCCGCCCUUUCCAUUUCCCCUUUCUCUCCGUAAACAGAAAGAAUUGUGGGGAAGCCAGAGCCCCCGCGCUGGGAAAUUCCGCCCUCCCCCCCCCUUUUUUUUGCCCUCGGGGACCCGGGCGGAGCUGAAGUCGCGACGUGGGAGGAGCGAGCGUUGCUUGGAGUGGGUCGCGCCCAGAGCGCUGGAGUCGGGAUCUACAGGCCACCUAGGGGCCCCGGACCGCAGUUGAGGGCCUGAGACACCUGAGUUCUCCCUGGGACCUGAUGUAGAGGGCGCCCCAAUGGCGGAGUUAUAAAGCGCCAGGGUCUCCGCACCCCUUGGUCCCUGGAAGAAGAUCGUAUUUCCUUACGCGCUUGAGCCCUCGGGGUCACUCCAGUGUCCUAGGUCCAGGCUCUGUCCCUGUCCCGUGCCACCACGCCCCGGGGGGCAGAAGAGCCGCCAGCUGUCCCCGCCGCGUUGCAGGAGGCGCAGCAGCGUCUGGCCUUCUCUAACCUCGUCCAGAUUCCUGCUCAGCUGUGAGUCCGGCAUUCUCUGUCCUAUUGGAAAGAAGAUCAAAGAUCGUUCACAGUGCUCGCCCUUCUCGAGUGGAAAGCUUUUACUCCAGGUGUAGCUGGAAGAAAGUUCUAGGGAAUUAGCGCCUCUCUCCACGAAAUGCACUUGGCGGGACAUUCCCAAUACUUACUGAGUCGCACCCGCGCCUCCCCCCCCCCCCCCAUACUGCCUUAGUAUCAAGCGCCUACUAUGACAGACAUCUGGCGUGACAGCCCGGAGGAGGAGAGAAAAUAUAAGGCAGGCAUCCCCUCCACC